GUCGGUAUAGCUCAGGUUGGUAGAGCAUGAGACUCACUCUCAGGGUCGUGGGUUCAAGCCCCACGUUGGGCA